GAGGGUGUAGCUCAGUGGCAGAGCAGGUGCUUAGCAUGCACGUAGUCCUGGGUUCAAUCCCCAGUACCUCCA
rnacentral:tRNA from 1 species